ACAUGCCUACAAAAUAGAAUUAAUGCAACAAAUCCCAUUAGAACUCCGCAGUUAAGCAUGCUUAGGAUGGAGUAGUACCGAAAUGGAUGACCGACUGAGAAGUCCUAGUGUUUUACAUGCC
rnacentral:rRNA from 1 species